CACUUUCUCCUCUGGUCUUCCCAAUU
rnacentral:piRNA from 1 species